rnacentral:rRNA from 1 species
UACAGAGGUGGCAAGCGUUGUUCGGAAUUACUGGGCGUAAAGGGCGCGUAGGCGGUCCCGUAAGUUCCGCGUGAAAUCCCCCGGCUCAACCGGGGAAUGGCGCGGAAAACUGCGGGGCUUGAGUUCGGGAGAGGGAAGCGGAAUUCCGGGUGUAGCGGUGAAAUGCGUAGAUAUCCGGAGGAACACCGGUGGCGAAGGCGGCUUCCUGGACCGACACUGACGCUGAGGCGCGAAAGCUAGGGGAGCAAACAGG